GACGAACGCUGGCGGCGUGCUUAACACAUGCAAGUCGAACGGAAAGGCCCUGCUUUUGUGGGGUGCUCGAGUGGCGAACGGGUGAGUAACACGUGAGUAACCUGCCCUUGACUUUGGGAUAACUUCAGGAAACUGGGGCUAAUACCGGAUAGGAGCUCCUGCUGCAUGGUGGGGGUUGGAAAGUUUCGGCGGUUGGGGAUGGACUCGCGGCUUAUCAGCUUGUUGGUGGGGUAGUGGCUUACCAAGGCUUUGACGGGUAGCCGGCCUGAGAGGGUGACCGGCCAAAUUGGGAAUGAGAUACGGCCCAGACUCCUACGGGAGGCAGCAGUGGGGAAUAUUGCACAAUGGGCGGAAGCCUGAUGCAGCAACGCCGCGUGCGGGAUGACGGCCUUCGGGUUGUAAACCGCUUUCGCCUGUGACGAAGCGUGAGUGACGGUAAUGGGUAAAGAAGCACCGGCUAACUAAGUG
rnacentral:rRNA from 1 species